ACUGUGGCUCAGUUGGUAGAGCAAUUGAUUCGUAAUCAAUAGGUCACCGGUUCGAGUCCGGUCAGU
rnacentral:tRNA from 1 species